rnacentral:rRNA from 1 species
UGGGGAAUAUUGCACAAUGGGCGAAAGCCUGAUGCAGCAACGCCGCGUGAGUGAUGAAGGCCUUCGGGUUGUAAAGCUCUGUCUUUUGGGACGAUAAUGACGGUACCAAAGGAGGAAGCCACGGCUAACUACGUGCCAGCAGCCGCGGUAAUACGUAGGUGGCAAGCGUUGUCCGGAUUUACGGGCGUAAAGGAUGCGUAGGCGGAUUUUUAAGUGAGAUGUGAAAUACCCGGGCUUAACUUGGGUGCUGCAUUUCAAACUGGGAAUCUAGAGUGCGGGAGAGGAGAAUGGAAUUCCUAGUGUAGCGGUGAAAUGCGUAGAGAUUAGGAAGAACACCAGUGGCGAAGGCGAUUCUCUGGACCGUAACUGACGCUGAGGCAUGAAAGCGUGGGUAGCAAACAGGAUUAGAUACCCUGGUAGUCCACGCCGUAAACGAUGAGUACUAGGUGUAGGAGGUAUCGACCCCUUCUGUGCCGCAGUUAACACAAUAAGUACUCCGCCUGGGAAGUACGAUCGCAAGAUUAAAACUCAAAGGAAUUGACGGGGUCAUAGCUGUUUUUCCU